AUUGAACGCUGGCGGAAUGCUUUACACAUGCAAGUCGAACGGCAGCGCGGGGCAACCUGGUGGCGAGUGGCGAACGGGUGAGUAAUACAUCGGAACGUGCCCAAUCGUGGGGGAUAACGUAGCGAAAGUUACGCUAAUACCGCAUACGAUCUACGGAUGAAAGCGGGGGAUCGCAAGACCUCGCGCGAGUGGAGCGGCCGAUGUCAGAUUAGGUAGUUGGUGGGGUAAAGGCUCACCAAGCCAACGAUCUGUAGCUGGUCUGAGAGGACGACCAGCCACACUGGAACUGAGACACGGUCCAGACUCCUACGGGAGGCAGCAGUGGGGAAUUUGGACAAUGGGCGCAAGCCUGAUCCAGCCAUUCCGCGUGCAGGAUGAAGGCCUU
rnacentral:rRNA from 1 species